rnacentral:rRNA from 1 species
GAUGAACGCUGACAGAAUGCUUAACACAUGCAAGUCUUUGGCGAAUCUGUGCUUGCACAGGCUAGCCAAGGCGGACGGGUGAGUAACGCGUAAAGAACUUGCCCUGCAGACAGGGAUAACAGACGGAAACGACUGAUAACACCUGAUACAGUUGCCGGCACGCAUGUGCCUGGCAAUGAAAAGAGAUGCUGCAGGAGAGCUUUGCGUCCUAUUAGCUUGUUGGUGAGGUGACGGCUCCCCAAGGCGAUGAUAGGUAGCCGGCCUGAGAGGGUGAACGGCCACAAGGGGACUGAGAUACGGCCCUUACGCCUACGGGAGGCAGCAGUGGGGAAUAUUGGACAAUGGGGGCAACCCUGAUCCAGCAAUUCUGUGUGCACGAAGAAGGUUUUCGGAUUGUAAAGUGCUUUCAGCAGGGAAGAAGAAAGUGACGGUACCUGCAGAAGAAGCGACGGCUAAAUACGUG